rnacentral:rRNA from 1 species
CCCUUAGAUGCUCUGGGCCGCACGCGCGCUACACUGGUCGAUGCAACGAGUUUCUUUCCUUGGCCGACAGGCCUGGGCAAUCUUUGAACAUCGAUCGUGAUCGGGAUAGAUUCUUGUAAUUUUUGAUCUUAAACGAGGAAUUCCUAGUAAACGCAAGUCAUCAGCUUGCAUUGAUUACGUCCCUGCCCUUUGUACACACCGCCCGUCGCACCUACCGAUUGAAUGGUCCGGUGAAUCUUUCGGACUGCGCGCGGCUUCGUGCCGUGUCGCGGAAAGUCAGGUAAACCUUNUNACUUAGNGGAAGGAGAANUCGUANCA